rnacentral:rRNA from 1 species
UGGGGGAAUUUUGGACAAUGGGCGAAAGCCUGAUCCAGCAAUGCCGCGUGUGUGAAGAAGGCCUUCGGGUUGUAAAGCACUUUUGUCCGGAAAGAAAUCCUUGGCUCUAAUACAGUCGGGGGAUGACGGUACCGGAAGAAUAAGCACCGGCUAACUACGUGCCAGCAGCCGCGGUAAUACGUAGGGUGCAAGCGUUAAUCGGAAUUACUGGGCGUAAAGCGUGCGCAGGCGGUUUGCUAAGACCGAUGUGAAAUCCCCGGGCUCAACCUGGGAACUGCAUUGGUGACUGGCAGGCUAGNGUAUGGCGAGAGGGGGGUAGAAUUCCACGUGUAGCAGUGAAAUGCGUAGAGAUGUGGAGGAAUACCGAUGGCGCGA